CCAAAGGGCACCCAGGGGGCACCCAGGGAGCACUGGGGACAGACUGGGAGCACCCACAGUGGGGAACUGGGGACACUGGGGGGGGAAACUGGGACCGGACACAGCUCUGGGACUGGGAUUGUUAUUUUCAUACUGGGAUUGUUAUUUUUGGAUUGGGAUCAUGGAUCUGGGACUGGGAUCAAGGGACUGGGAUCAUGGAUCUGGGACUGGGAUUGGGACUGGGAUCAUGGAUCUGGGACUGGGAUCCCAGCUCUGGGAUGCAGCUCUGGGACUGGGACUGUUAUUGUCAUACUGGGAUCACGGAUCUGGAACUGGGGUCAUGGGACUGGGAUCACUAUUCUGGACUGGGAUCAUGGAUCUGAGACUGGGAUCAAGGGACUGGGAUCUGGACUGGUAUCAUGGAUCUGGGACUGGGAUCACAGAUUUGGGACUGGGAUUGCUAUUUUCAUACUGGGAUUUUCAUACUGGGAUCGCUAUUUUGGGACUGGGAUCAGGGAUCUGGGACUGGGAUCACAGGACUGGGAUUGGGACUGGAAUCAAGGAUCUGGGACUGGGAUCGCUAUUUUCAUACUGGGAUUGUUAUUCUGGGACUGGGAUCAUGGAUCUGGGACUGGGAUCAAGGGACUGGGAUCAUGGAUCUGGGACUGAGAUUAUCAUUUUCCUACUGGGAUUGUUAUUCCUGGACUGGGAUUGUUAUUUCCCUACUGGGAUUGUUAUUCUGGGACUGAGAUCAUGGAUCCAGGAUUGGGAUUGUUAUUCCAGGACUGGGAUCACUGCUCUGGGACUGAGAUCAUGGAAUUGGGAUUGGGAUCUGGGACUGGGAUCGUGGAUCUGGGACUGGGAUCCCAGCUCUGGGAUGCAGCUCUGGGACUGGGAUCACUAUUUUCCUACUGGGAUUGUUAUUCCUGGACUGGGAUCACAGAUCUGGGAUCCCUGUUUUUGUACUGGGAUUGUUAUUUUGGGACUGGGAUCACUAUUUUCCUACUGGGAUUGUUAUUCCUGGACUGGGAUUAUCAUUUUCCUACUGGGAUUGUUAUUCCUGGACUGGGAUCCCAGCUCUGGGAUGCAGCUCCAGACUGGGAUCGCUAUUUUCAUACUGGGAUCGCUAUUUUCAUACUGGGAUUGUUAUUUUCAUACUGGGAUUUUCAUACUGAGAUCACAGAUUUGGGACUGAGAUCAGGGAUCUGGGACUGGGAUCGGGACUGGAAUCAAGGAUCUGGGACUGGGAUUGCUAUUUUCAUACUGGGAUUGUUAUUUUGGGACUGGGAUCAUGGAUUUGGGACUGGGAUGAAGGAUCUGGGACUGGGAUCCUGGAUCUGGGACUGGGAUCGCUAUUUUCAUACUGGGAUUGUUAUUUCUGGACUGGGAUCAUGGAUCCGGGAUUGGGAUCAUGGAUUUGGGACUGGGAUCCUGGAUCUGGGACUGGGAUCACAGUUUUGGGACUGGGACUGUUAUUUUCAUACUGGGAUCGAGGAUUUGGGACUGGGAUCACAGGACUGGGAUUGGGACUGGGAUCGGGACUGGGAUCCUGGAUCUGGGACUGGGAUCCCAGCUCUGGGAUG
rnacentral:lncRNA from 1 species